rnacentral:rRNA from 1 species
GACGAACGCUGGCGGCGUGCUUAACACAUGCAAGUCGAACGGUAAGGCCCUUCGGGGUACACGAGUGGCGAACGGGUGAGUAACACGUGGGUGAUCUGCCCUGCACUUCGGGAUAAGCCUGGGAAACUGGGUCUAAUACCGGAUAGGACUCCUGCCUGCAUGGGUGGGGGUGGAAAGCUUUUGUGGUGUGGGAUGGGCCCGCGGCCUAUCAGCUUGUUGGUGGGGUGAUGGCCUACCAAGGCGACGACGGGUAGCCGGCCUGAGAGGGUGACCGGGCACGAGGGGACUGGGAUACGGCCCAGGCUCCUGCGGGGGGCAGCAGUGGGGAAUAUUGCACAAUGGGGGCAAGCCUGAUGCACCGACGCCGCGUGAGGGAUGACGGCCUUCGGGUUGUAAACCUCUUUCAGCACAGACGAAGCGCAAGUGACGGUAUGUGCAGAAGAAGGACCGGCAACUACGUGCCAGCCGCCGCAGUAA